AAUGGGGGAAACCCUGACGCAGCAACGCCGCGUGGGUGAAGAAGGCCCUCGUUGGUUGUAAAGCCCUGUCAGGCGGGAAGAAACCUUUUCAGGUGAAUAGUCUGGAAAGCUGACGGUACCGCCAAAGGAAGCACCGGCUAACUCCGUGCCAGCAGCCGCGGUAAGACGGAGGGUGCAAGCGUUGUUCGGAAUCACUGGGCGUAAAGCGCGUGUAGGCGGUCCGGGAAGACGGGUGUGAAAUCCCGAGGCUUAAACUAGGAAGUGCACUCGAAACUGUCGGGCUUGAGUAAGGGAGAGGGAAGUGGAAUUCCUGGUGUAGAGGUGAAAUUCGUAGAUAUCAGGAGGAACACCGGUGGCGAAGGCGGCUUCCUGGACCGAUACUGACGCCGAGACGCGAAAGCGUGGGGAGCAAA
rnacentral:rRNA from 1 species